GGUUGUUUGGCCGAGUGGUCUAAGGCGCCCGACUCAAGAGACGUUCUCUUCGCUACACAGUAAGUGCAUUCGGGUCUCGCAAGAGGCGAGGGUUCGAAUCCCUCAGCAAUCA
rfam:Nadsonia fulvescens var. elongata DSM 6958 unplaced genomic scaffold NADFTscaffold_8, whole genome shotgun sequence.